rnacentral:rRNA from 1 species
UACAGGGGGGGCAAGCGUUGUUCGGAAUUACUGGGCGUAAAGGGCUCGUAGGCGGCCAACUAAGUCCGACGUGAAAUCCCAAAGCUUAACUUUGGAACUGCGUCGGAUACUGGAUGGCUUGAAUUCGGGAGAGGGAUGCAGAAUUCCAGGUGUAGCGGUGAAAUGCGUAGAUAUCUGGAGGAAUACCGGUGGCGAAGGCGGCAUCCUGGACCGGAACUGACGCUGAGGCGCGAAAGCUAGGGGAGCAAACAGG